AUAUUUAAAACCAAUUAAUACAUUUUUUGCUGGAUUUUAGGGAUGAUUAAAAGAUCAUUAAAGAAGAAAUAAGCAGCGCUGGAGGCUUCAGAUGAGCCUCUAACGAACAACCAGCAUAAAUAAUUAAAUACCUAAAUUUGUUAAAUACUUUUUAUUUUAAGUCUGUUGUUGCAAUGAGAAUAAUAGAGAGAGGAAUAAUACAUCAAUUAGAGUUUGGGUGCAAAAUAUUGUGUGGCCAUCAAAAUAUUCUGUGUGUAUUUAUUUAUUUAAAGUCGAUGCUAAAUAUAUAUUUUUAUCCUGAUAUAACCAGCCCUCGAGGCCAUUGAAGAGGACUCCGUAAACACACACAGUGUUAAAAGAUUCAAGCCACAAAUCUCCUGACUCCAAUCAGCGCUGAUGAAAACAGAGCGGCACGGAGCGGAUCAGAGCGGCGGAAGCAGGCCACGAGUCUAUCGACGGACUCUAAUGGAUGAUCGAUAGCAGGAACACACAGCCAGAGCCAUGCUCCCGAUAUGCAGAUAUAUUCAAAUCACGGCCUGCCCUUAAAAAAACCACUCAUCUAGUCUGGAACACACUGAUCGGCUUUGUCUUGCUCGGGUGAAACGAUGCAUUUUUACUAAAACAGCCCGUUCAACUUUGACAUGCAGGCUGGGACUUUAAAACGAAAGUGAAUUUUUAUCGACUGGACGGGAGCUGAUUUGCUCUGGUUUUGACCGAGCGGAGGGAAGUUGUGCAACACGUUCGAAUUUGACAAAGAUUUCUCUGUUACAAACCCCAGAGAGACCCGGAUGACGUGAUGGAGUUAGUUAAAACCAUAUUAAACGGCACCGACGAGGAAAACAGAAAAACCUUCUGCCAGGAACAAACAUAAAUAAGCCUUUCAGUCCACGCAAACAAGCUGGGAUUUGGACCGAAACGUUGCAUAAUCAUGCUAAAUAUUAUUUUACAGCACUCGCAGAUGCUGUAGCUGUGAAUGAAAAUCGAUGCAUGCAUGGGCCGUUAAUGCAGCCGACCUUGACAUGACUAACUGAUCCAAAGACUCGGCAUCAUGAAAGUGGAAAACACUGUAGAAGCGCUUCACGGUGGCUGAGGAAAUAACACAGACGCAGGAAAAAAAAAGGUGAAGCCGAGAUGUUAGCGGUUACACAAUCGCUGGCCGUGUUCCUGAAGCGUCUCUCUCUCAUGGCCUGCUUUUUCUCCACUUCAAAAACAGCUCCGGUGCGGACUGAUAAACAGCUCAAACACUCGGAGAAACUCAGCUCUUUCCUCUCUUUCCUCGCUCCCCGUUGAACACGACGAAGUGAAACACAGUUUUCCUUCUCUAUGCAUCUCGAUCUAAAGCAUCUUCGGGGGACCGGAAAACGAGACCGAAAUGCCGAAGGUGGAAAUCGCGUUUGAUCGAGUCGACUAACAAGCUCCAGCAAAUCGACCGGCUCGAGAACGGAGCUGAAGAAAGAGAAAAUACGGUGAUUAAACGUCAGACGACAGGUGGAGGCGAAGGAUUGUGUGGGAAGCCAGACAAUGAUCCAGCAAGAGCUCAUGUUUACGGGAUUACACCGAUAUGAGCAGGGUGCGUAUCGUUUUUACACUGAUUACAGACAUAAUCAGAAGAUUAAUACUGGAGCUCACCCUCGUUUUACCAGCUCUGCAUCUCAAUAAUGAAUACCUUUUUUGCUUUUUAUCAUCGUCGCAUGCAUCUGAAGUUGUGCAUUUUCGCCCAUUCUAAUAGUAAACCAAGCCUGACGAUAAAUCUUCCCAAUAAACCGAGCAGCAGAAUGGCACGUGAUAUGGAAGGAAAGCCUACGGUUUCGAUUCGUUCUCAAAACAGCUACAAUUUGCCGACUUUCUCGGGAAACGAGUUUCUGAUUCAGACGAGAACCAAUCAAAACGAUAGGCUUUUCCCUUUUAGUUGUGUUUUUUUCACCCACUGGGGUCGAAGCGUUCGUUUAACCGUUUGUUCGUUUCUCUGGAAACGGCUAAAUGCUCGCUGACCGAAGAAGGUUUACCGAAAAACACACAAAAUAGAUGCAGAAGAAAGACAUUUAGCAGACCUCCGGUGCCACGUGUGUCUAGAAAUCACCAGCUUGAGUUUCAGUUUGUAGAGCAGGACGCGUUUGGAGGUUGGCCGGUAUUUUUAGGCGUUGUGAUAAAGGACACCGGGAUAUGUUACGUGCGCGCUAUUCUCGGGCCAGCAGUUGUACGUCGGUGUGGAUUACGUUCCUCAAGACUUCGGGGCAAUGAUCGGAAAACACGCCAAAACAGAGCUCGGCGGGUGGCUUUUCCAGCGCUCAAGAAAGCAAUCCGUACACUGGAUGUCCCAAAAAAAAAGAAGACGCACAGCCGACCCAGAGCUGAGGACGGUGUGGUGUGACGUUUCUGGUGGGCGCGUGUUAGCUGAGGGCUAUUUCAAGAGGUCGGCCAUGUUGGGUCGAGACGCCCUGAGAGACCUCUUCAGAAAAAACACCAGCUCCAGAUAAACCAACCAAUGCAUUAAAACAAUCGACUAAACCGACGAAUGUAGAGGAAUAAAUAAAUCUUUAGAAACGACUAAAUUAGGGACAAAAUUAAAACCAACCCCCACCCCGCGAAAAAAAAAGCUUUCGUUUCAAAGCAAUAAAAAGGGCUUACCGAACUUCGACUUAAACAAGUGCAAUAAAAAGCAAGCCUUUAAUGAGUUGUAAAGAGCGCUUUCCCUGCUGCUCAGAGACUGGAUCGCUGUUAGAGGUCGCGCUCGUUUUAAUGAACCUCUGAGAGACCACUGACUUCACUCACGACUUCAAUCCUUCAGAUCUGGUUCGCAUAUGACACGAAGUAACAUUAAUAAAUACAUAUAUUAGCGCGUUAUUGUUUCACUUUUCACGCACAGAGAAAAAGAGAGCAUGACUGAACUGGUAGCACAAACACAUCCUGAAAUGAGAAAGCAUUAAUAAUAACUACAAUCUCCUCCCAUCAGCAGCGGCGGAUCUGGGCGGUGUGUGUGUGUGUGUGUGUGUGUGUGUGUGUGUGUGUUUAUCCGUUUGCUCUUGGCUUUGUUUCGGUGUUUGUUCAUCUACAAAGUUUCGAUGACAAAAGAAAAGAUAAUGAUCCGCAGGAGCCUCCAUGGAGACGCAGAGAGAUGCCAAAGCUUUCUCUCAGGACUGUUUCACUCGUGUUUCCCAGAGACGUGAUCAUCCAUCAGUCCAGCUGGAGAAGAGCAGCCAAACCUCCCAGGGAUUCAUCCAUCUAUCUAUCCAUCCAUCUAUCUCGCAAUUCUGUAAUAUUUCAUUCCCCCGUAAUUGUUACAAGCUUUUUAACAACACUUUGCCCAUUGGAGAGUCCAUUAUAAUAUAUAAAAAUGAUAACAUUUUAGUAUUAUUUAGCAUAAAGUAAGGUUUAUUAUCCAUCUUAAACCAAGCAUUUUGUCAUGUCCCCGAGGCACUUAAACGAUUAUUAACAAAAGUUCUGUUCCUUAGAUUUCUUCGGCAGCAAUACAGUUUAAUUCUUUAUUUGUGUGUGCCUUUUUUAAAAAUAAUUAAAAUAUAUUUUAUUAAAAACACUUCACCUACAGUAUAAUAAUUUAGACUCAUAAAUGGCAUCGUUCAGGUCUCUUCAAUAGUGGCGCUGAAAAUGCUGAGUGGUAUUUUCGAGGUGUAUCUCAGGUAGGGUGCUGUCAAACUUUACAACCCCAUCACAGAUAUAUGCAUUUCUUACUGGGUUGUGACGGGGUUGAGUUAUUUACCUAAUCUAUUAAUAAAAA